GGGGGGGGCAAGCGUUGUUCGGAAUUACUGGGCGUAAAGGGCUCGUAGGUGGCCAACUAAGUCAGACGUGAAAUCCCUCGGCUUAACCGGGGAACUGCGUCUGAUACUGGAUGGCUUGAAUCCGGGAGAGGGAUGCGGAAUUCCAGGUGUAGCGGUGAAAUGCGUAGAUAUCUGGAGGAACACCGGUGGCGAAGGCGGCAUCCUGGACCGGUGUUGACACUGAGGAGCGAAAGCCAGGGGAGCAAACGGGAUUAGAUACCCCGGUAGUCCUGGCCCUAAACGAUGAAUGCUUGGUGUGACGGGUAUCGAUCCCUGUCGUGCCGAAGCUAACGCAUUAAGCAUUCCGCCUGGGGAGUACGGUCGCAAGGCUG
rnacentral:rRNA from 1 species